rnacentral:rRNA from 1 species
GCUUGUCUCAAAGAUUAAGCCAUGCAUGUCUUAGUGUAAAUAACUCUUAUGAAACUGCGAAUGGCUCAUUAAAUCAGUUAUCAAAUACGUGAUGGUCGCCUACUACAUGGAUAACCGUAGUAAUUCUAGAGCUAAUACAUGCACAAAGGCCCGACUUCUGGAAGGGGUGUAUUUAUUAGAUAAAAAUCAACACUGUUGGUGAAUCAUGAUAACUUCUCGGAUCGCAUGGCCUCGUGCUGGCGAUACUUCAUUCAAAUAUCUGCCCUAUCAACUGUCGAUGGUAGGAUAGAGGCCUACCAUGGUUGCAACGGGUAACGGGGAAUAAGGGUUCGAUUCCGGAGAGGGAGCCUGAGAAACGGCUACCACAUCCAAGGAAGGCAGCAGG